rnacentral:rRNA from 1 species
UACAGAGGUGGCAAGCGUUGUUCGGAAUUACUGGGCGUAAAGGGCGAGUAGGCGGCUUCUUUAGUCAGACGUGAAAUCCCCCGGCUUAACCUGGGAACUGCGUCUGAUACUGGGAGGCUAGAGUAUGGGAGAGGGAUGUGGAAUUCCAGGUGUAGCGGUGAAAUGCGUAGAUAUCUGGAGGAACACCGGUGGCGAAGGCGGCAUCCUGGACCAUAACUGACGCUGAUCCGCGAAAGCUAGGGGAGCAAACGGG